rnacentral:rRNA from 1 species
GACAGAGGUUGCAAGCGUUGUUCGGAAUUACUGGGCAUAAAGCGCACGUAGGCGGUCCGCUAAGUCAUGUGUGAAAUCCCCCGGCUCAACCGGGGAAUGGCGCCUGAUACUGGCGGACUCGAGAUCGGUAGGGGUGAGUGGAACUCCAGGUGGAGCGGUGGAAUGCGUAGAUAUCUGGAGGAAUACCGGUGGCGAAGGCGGCAUCCUGGACCAUUACUGACGCUGAGGCGCGAAAGCUAGGGGAGCAAACGGG